GACGAACGCUGGCGGCAUGCUUAACACAUGCAAGUCGAGCGCAGCAUCGGAGCUUGCUCUGAUGGCUGAGUGGCAGACGGGUGAGUAACACGUGGGAACUUACCCUUUAGACUGGGACAACCACUGGAAACGGUGGCUAAUACCGGAUAAGCCCUGAGGGGGAAAGCAGCAAUGCGCUAAGGGAGAGGCCCGCGGCAGAUUAGGUAGUUGGUGGGGUAAAGGCCUACCAAGCCAAUGAUCUGUAGCUGGUUUGAGAGGAUGAUCAGCCACACUGGGCCGGGGACACGGCCCAGACUCCUACGGGAGGCAGCAGUGGGGAAUAUUGGACAAUGGGGGAAGCCCUGAUCCAGCAAUGCCGCGUGAAUGAAGAAGGCCUUAGGGUUGUAAAAUUCUUUUGUUCGUGACGAUAAUGACGGUAGCGGACGAAUAAGCCCUGGCUAACUCUGUGCCAGCCGCCGCCGUAA
rnacentral:rRNA from 1 species